AUAUAGGCCUCUCUUGAGGCCACAGUGUCUUCAAAGUUCAUGGAGU
rfam:Callithrix jacchus chromosome 11, whole genome shotgun sequence